CCGAGUUUACAACUCCCAAACCCCUGUGAACAUACCUUUUGUUGCUUCGGCGGGAUCGCCCCGGCGCCCCCGGGCCCGGACCCAGGCGCCCGCCGGAGGACCUAAACUCUUGUUUUCCUGAAGUAUCUUCUGAGUGACACAAGCAAAUAAAAUCA
rnacentral:misc_RNA from 1 species